UAAUACGUAGGUGGCAAGCGUUGUCCGGAUUUAUUGGGUUUAAAGGGUGCGUAGGCGGUCUUUUAAGUCAGUGCUGAAAUACUCCAGCUUAACUGGAGGGGUGGCAUUGAUACUGGAAGACUUGAGUGUAGUCGAGGUAGGCGGAAUUGACGGUGUAGCGGUGAAAUGCUUAGAUAUCGUCAAGAACACCGAUAGUGAAGACAGCUUACUAGGCUACAACUGACGCUGAGGCACGAAAGUGUGGGGAUCAAACAGGAUUAGAUACCCUGGUAGUCCACACUGUAAACGUUGAUUACUCGAUGUUGGCGAUAUACCGUCAGCGUCUUAGCGCAAGCGAUAAGUAAUCCACCUGGGGAGUACGCCGGCAACGGUG
rnacentral:rRNA from 1 species